rfam:Chlorocebus sabaeus isolate 1994-021 chromosome 6, whole genome shotgun sequence.
GCCAGGCGCGGUGGCUCAAGCCUGUAAUCCUAGCACUUUGGGAGGCCGAGACGGGCGGAUCACGAGGUCAGGAGAUCGAGACCAUCCUGGCUAACACGGUGAAACCCCAUCUCUACUAAAAAAUACACAACACUAGCNNNNNNNNNNGCUAGUGUUGUGUAUUUUUUAGUAGAGAUGGGGUUUCACCAUGUUAGCCAGGAUGGUCUCGAUCUCCUGACCUCGUGAUCCGCCCGUCUCAG